CCCUUAGAUGUUCUGAACCGCACGCGUGUUACACUGAUGCAUUCAACGAGCUUUACCUUGGCCGAGAGGCCUGGGAUAUCUUUUUAGCAUGCAUCGUGAUAGGGAUUGAUUAUUGCAAUUAUUAAUCAUGAACGAGGAAUUCCUAGUAAACGCAUUUCAUCAAAAUGCAUUGAUUACGUCCCUGCCCUUUGUACACACCGCCCGUCGCACCUACCGAUUGAGUGGUCCGGUGAAGUCUCGAGAUUGUGGCAAUCUCCUUUAUUGGAGUUUGACUGCGAGAACUUGCCUAAACCUUAUCACUUAGAGGAAGGUGAAGUCGUAACA
rnacentral:rRNA from 1 species